rnacentral:rRNA from 1 species
GCUUAUGCGUUGUUGGGUAGGGGAGCGUUCUGUAAGCCUGCGAAGGUGGCCUGUGAGGGUUGCUGGAGGUAUCAGAAGUGCGAAUGCUGACAUAAGUAACGAUAAAGCGGGUGAAAAGCCCGCUCGCCGGAAGACCAAGGGUUCCUGUCCAACGUUAAUCGGGGCAGGGUGAGUCGACCCCUAAGGCGAGGCCGAAAGGCGUAGUCGAUGGGAAACGGGUUAAUAUUCCCGUACUUGGUGUUACUGCGAAGGGGGGACGGAGAAGGCUAUGUUGGCCGGGCGACGGUUGUCCCGGUUUAAGCGUGUAGGUGUGUGUUCCAGGUAAAUCCGGUUCACUUUAACACUGAGGCGUGAUGACGAGGCACUACGGUGCUGAAG